rnacentral:misc_RNA from 1 species
GAUGAAGAACGUAGCGAAAUGCGAUAAGUAAUGUGAAUUGCAGAAUUCAGUGAAUCAUCGAAUCUUUGAACGCACCUUGCACCCUUUGGACUGCUCCAAAGGGUAUGCUCGUUUGAGUGUCAUUGUACUCUCACACUCUCUGAUCCUUUGGAUUUGGGGAGCAGUGGACUUGGGUGCUUGCUGCUUCCUUGUGGCUCACCUGAAAUGCAUCAGUGCAUCUCUCGAUUGGACAUAGUACGGCGUGAUAAGUGUCUUCGCCGGCACCUCAUAUGAGGGUGGCCGAUCGGGAGCUCUGUGCUUUCAAACCGUCUUCGGACAACGCUGACAACUUGACCUCAAAUCGAGUAGGACUACCAGCUGAACUUAAGCAUAUCAAUAAGCGGAGGA